rnacentral:lncRNA from 10 species
AGAAAUGCCUAUUCACAGAAGCCAUGAGCAUAAAUCAUGAACUUAAACCCCAGCACUGGGAUGAUUUAUCCAUUUGAACCCCCCUCCUCCUCUGAACUUUGCCCUUGGGGUCACCAAGAGCUUUUGGGAGGAGAAUGGGAAAGGUAUCAACCCCAGAUGAUUUCUUAAUAUAGCCAUCUCUUGCAGGAGGACUAGACAUGCUCAUUCUCAACCACAUCACCAACGGCAACUGAAGAGUCAUGACAACUAAAUGCCAACUCAUGAUCCUCAAUUGGAUCCUUUUGCUAUAAAGGAUAUUAUUGGCACACAUGACAAAAUUUGAAUAGGGUCUGUGGAUUAGAUAACAUGGAUAUGUCA